GUAAUAGCUCAGUGGUCGAGUCGGCCUGCGCGGAAGAUGUAACGGGGCUAAACCAUGCACCGAAGCUGCGGCAGCGACGCUUAUGCGUUGUUGGGUAGGGGAGCGUUCUGUAAGCCUGCGAAGGUGUGCUGUGAGGCAUGCUGGAGGUAUCAGAAGUGCGAAUGCUGACAUAAGUAACGAUAAAGCGGGUGAAAAGCCCGCUCGCCGGAAGACCAAGGGUUCCUGUCCAACGUUAAUCGGGGCAGGGUGAGUCGACCCCUAAGG
rnacentral:rRNA from 1 species